GAUAAACAUUGUUACGUUUUAUAUGUUUAUGCAGAUUUAUGAGUGUAAAUUAGCCAAUUUGCCAUGAAAACCCAAUCCAAUAGACAAAUAGUGACUAAGCUAGAAUAACUGUGUACAUGCGCCACCAUCCGACGACCCCCCGACAUGGGCUGCGCACUUGAAACAGAAACACGAACAACAAAUUUGCUUGCAAAAACAACAAGUGACAGCAACAUUUCCGCCAACGAAAAGAACUUCGGUUUUGGAAAAGGCAGCUCGACGGACGGAAGCAUUUGCCGAAACGCCAUCAGAAAAGGGCGAAAAACAAAAAACCGUGGGACUAAGUGUGCGAGUCAAAUCCAAUACAGAAAGAUCGGACAAGAUCCCGUGAACAGCUGUCCAGACGAAAAAGGAUUCCGAUCUCGUCGCGGAAAUAUUAGUGCAUCCCUCAAAAACCGAUAAAUCCUUGGUAAAGGCAGUACAGCACGCUCGACAAACCUGACCGCAGCACCGUCACGAGCGUGCGACAGAUAUUGGAUCUUAUCAGAGCCCGACAGGUAAACGCUCGCAUGCCUACAUCACCUUGCCAAGUUACAUUGGUAGAGGAAGGUUCUAAAAUCACCCACGAUCACUUGGUACGGCUGUUUAGUCAUUGUGGCAUACAACACACGUAGGACCGCUUCUACGCAUGCCCGGACCGGUGAAACCGAUUGUGUCGUGAUACCUCCCGUGUGCUUAAACGACGACUAAGACGACGGACUACUGCGAGAAAAGACCUUCCAUCGGAAGGUCUUUUUGUUCACUGGUUUCAUUUCGCAGACAACGUUACACGCCGUACCAAACGGCAGGUAGAGCACCAUCAGCCGUGGCUAGUCGGCGCACAGCACCGCCCUGCAACCACGGGGAGGAGUCAGGUGGCACAACUCGGAAGACAUGUCAUCAUCGAAAGCGAGUCGGGUGGAGGUCAUGUCACCGUUGGGCGACAGCGUAGCCCAAGUCAGCGCACUCUGGUCCGUGAGUAGAAAUUAAGAAAAGCGAUGUUUUAGCAUAAGAAAGAAAGCUAGGCAGAGUAGGGCGAGUUUAUGAAUUGGUGUAAUACAUGGUUUGCUUAUGAAACGAUA